GCUACUGGGAAGGCUGAGGCAGGAGAAUGGCGUGGACCCGGGAGGCGGAGCUUGCAGUGAGCCGAGAUCGCGCCACUGCACUCCAGCCUGGACAACAGAGCGAGACUCCAUCUCAAAAAAAAAAAAAAAGUGAGAACAGCGACAGUACAUGCAAGGCAGAGUUGUGGAUGGAAGAGUGGACUUUGGUAACAGAAAAGAGGCAGGCAAGGUUGGGAUUAAAAGGGCCCUGUGUAUCAGUGUGAGGUGCUUGCAUUCCAUCUUUAGGGCAACAGGAGAGCUUAAGCCACAAGGCGAGUUUUGCUUACUAGGUGGUGCUAAUAGGAAGAGCCAAACCAUAAGGCAGAAAAGAGGUGGAUUUGCUUACAUUGAUAUUAAGGAUUUCUGGUCCAGUCCCUGGACAGAGUUUAUAAUAGAUGACAGAAAUGGGAGAAGGUCUUUACUCAGGAAAAUCCUCAAAUCCACAGGAAAAAAAGAUGGCAACUUCUAACAAAAUGGGAAAAGGAUAGAAUGAGGCAAUUUUUAGCAGAAAAACCUCCCAUCUCAAAUAAUAAACACAUGAUGAGGUGCUUAAUAUCUUAGUAAUCAGAUGAAAAUUAAACAGCCACAAGCUACCACUUUACAUCUGUUAGACUAUAUCUUUAUUAGAAAGCUGGAUAGUGCCAAGUGUGGUGGGAGAUCCAGGAGCCUCCCCUCACUGCUACGAGGAGACUGGAUUGGAGAGCAUGCGAAUUGAGUAUUGCCUACCCAAAGAGGCUACAUCAACCCGGAUCCUCGAACAAAGAUGUUCUUUGCUGUGUCAUUUGUAGAAGUAUGGAAUUCUCUCUCAGCUAAGAGAUGAGGCUGACAAAGUGCUGUGGAUGCACAUGAAGUUUGACGCAUCAAUUACAGGAAACAGAUCAGCCAGCCAACAGCGACAUCGCUGGAUCUCAACAACGCAGUGUUAGUGAGAACUCUAGGAAGCAAAAUGAAUUAUCUAUGCCAUUUACAUAGAUUAGAGAUACACCCAUACAAAUAUAUACAGCUUUUAAGGAAUAUGUGCAAAAAGCACUCUAUUAAAGAGAAUGAAGGUUGCCCAGAGGCAGGGGGAGGGGAAAGGGAGUGAGGGGAUGGAGCUUGAAUCUGGGGAGGGGAAAGGGAGUGAGGGGAUGGAGCUUGAAGACAAUAAAUAAAUAAUAAGAGUAAAACCUUGCAUGGUUACAGCUCUCAGACUGAGGAGUAUGAAGAUUUUAGCCUUUGGCACUGAGGUUAAACAAAAGCCAUCAUUUUGAGGGAAAGGACUACCUUUGUUUAUGUACUUUAUUGGGGUCUGGAAGGAUGCCACAUAUGCUUAAAUAAUUAAGAAUUUUUUUAAUAAUCCCAUAUAAUGUUUAUCAUGUUUUCAAAGCUCCUUCCCAUAGGUGGAUCAAUUUGAUUGUUACAAUGACUAUAUAAAUGAGUUCGUGGGGAUAUUUUUAGAAAAUGAGGAAGCUGAGCCCAUAGGGGCAAAGUGACUUGCCUAGGGUCACACAGCUGGGAAGUGUGACUCACCCCUUGGACUCUUAACCCUUGUCCAAGGUCUCAGGUCCCCAGGAAUUAUCACUACAUCAAAUGGAAAAUCAUUGCUCCUUUAAGGAAAUUGAAAUGAUAAAUGUCGUUUGCCUUGGAUUUUUUUCACAUGGACUUUUCUGUUUUCACUGCUUUUGUUGUGCUUAGAUUUUGUUUUUGUCAUUGUUAGGGGAGAAAUUUUGCUACUUGUGUAUCAUGUCAAUGGCUGUUAGCACUACAGCAUAAAGUCCGUUAAUGGGUUUAACAGAACUAAUAGCAGCUAUUUUUAAUUUAAAAGUGUCUGUAUGUAUUUUUCUUAUUUCAAACAUAACUUAUACUCCAUUGGAACUCUCUUUUUUUCACCUUCCAGAGAUAACCGCUGGUAAGAGUUUGGCUUAUAUUCUUCUACAUUUUUUUCCCCACAAGAAACUGAAAUUUGAAUUUUCUUCUACAAGUGAGAAAAAAAAAAAGUAAAAUCUCUAACUGUCUUAGUGAUGAUAAUUCUGAGAAGACAGGCCCAUUGAGCCAAGUAGGAGGAUAGGUUUCCUGAGGAUGGAGAUGCAGAAAUAGUUGACUUUGCCUUCACGAAGCAUCCUGACAUUUUUAGAUGUGGCUACACUCUGUGGGCCGGAAGUCGAAUUCCCUGGAGGGCUAGAGCUCUCAGUAUUUUGGACAUAUGUGAAGUCAGCACAGGGGGCAGGCGGUAAGUUAACUUGAAGAGAAUUCCAGUUACAAAUUUAGCUCAGCUUCUAAAAAACACUCCCAUCGAAGAGAGAUUCCUGGUUGCUGUGGAACUGCGUCCCCUGUGGGAUUUUCCUUGUGGAGUUAACUAGACACAGUUGUUACUAGGUAGCGGGACAACAGAUUUGCUUAAGAUCUCUUCGAUUUUGACAGUUUGAUGAUGGGUGACUUAUGUGGUAUUGUGGACAUCUGUUGGCUUUAUAUUUUGCCUGCCAAGCAUCCAUACUUUCUUUUUUCUGGUAUCCAUACUCAAUUUUUCUUCUGGUUCACCACCUAUACCGGGUUGAAUAAUGCCUCCCUCCCCACCCCAAUUCAUGUCUACUCGGAAGCUCAGCAUGUGACUUUAUUUGGAAAUAAGAGUCUUUGUGGAUAUAGCUAGGAUGAGGUCAUCCUGGAUUAGGGGGGGUCCUAAGUUCAAGGACUGGUGUUACCAUGAGAAGACACAGAGAAGGAAGGAGAGGCAGAGACUGGAAUGAAAUAACUGGAAGGGAAAGAACACGGAGGAUCGGGAUUGUCAGCGCCUCCAGGAGCUAGGAGAGAGGCCUGGAACGGGCUCUGCCUCAGAACCUCCAGCAGGAACCAACUCUUUGGACACCUUGAUGUUGGGCUUCUGGCCUCCAGGACUGGGAGAAGAUGCAUUUCUGUUGUUUAAGUCCUCCAGUUUGUGGUAUUUGUUAUGGCAGCCCUAGCAAAUUAAUAUACCUCCCAUUUACCCUGUCAAAAUGAUCCGGGGGCUAGUCUCUGUUGUGCUGGGCUCCUAUUAACUUCGGUAGGGAAGGCAUUAGGUUCAGGAGGAUGAGGAAGAGACCCAGAGUCCUCAAAUGAGACAUGGGGUUUUAUUAGCAGGAAGCUUACAUACACAGUGGUCCAGUGGUGGUGGGCUGGGCAGGAGAACCACAACUGCUUCCAAAAGCAUGUGGUUUGUACAGCAUUUUCACCUAGCACCCUCCCUGUAACAAUCUCCACCUGGCAACCCUCGUUUAACUCAAAACAAAGGGCCUCAAUGUCCUGCACGGGCCCUUUACGUUCCAUGCGUCAGGCUGGGGGCUCAGAGGUUUCUCGUAGCUAAGGAAUGGAUAAGGGUUGGCCCCUCCCAUUCCUUAGGAUCCUUGGAACACUAACAAACAUUCAGGUGCAUCUGCCAUGCAGGGUCAUUCUCAGGGUAUGCUCAAGUCAUCACUGUCAGGUGCGUCUACCAUACGGGCUCCCACCCCGCUUCCAGGAUGGACAUGUCACACAGAGCUGAGCAGGUUACUUAGGACAGACACAUCACUUUGCGUGGGCCGAUAAGAAUUAGUCCUGGAACUCUUUGUGGAUUGUUUGGCAAAGAGGAUCUUUUUAUGCCAGGUCAGCCAACCUGGAGCUGCUGGAGGUCAUCUUUGUUACCACACUCAGAGAGCCUAUCUGGGAAUGAGGCCAAUGCUAAGGAAAGCAGAACAAAAAGAUGGAGACACAUCCCUGACACUAUCACUUAGGUACCUAGAUCCAGCUGUGCCUGAACCCCGAUGGAGUGUUCACUUAAGGGAGCCAUAAUAUCCUGAAGUGAGAGUGGGGGUUUCUAUCACUAGUAAUGAAAGGAUCCUUACUAGUAAGUGUGAUUUGGAGACAAGCAUUCAUGCUCAUGGUCAUUGAAUGAUAAUCCUCAGAAACUCCUAGUUGACCCUGUUGGAUUAAUGGUUGCAUUUUCUCUGGAGAGAUAAAAAUGGAAAACCAACAGAAAAACAGGAAGCUAACAUAGGAAAAGGAAACAAACAUUUGAGUGCUCAGUCCUGUGCUAAGCAGUUGACUUAAAGUCCUCCCACCCUUUCCUUCCUUCCUUCCUUCCUCUUCCCAGCAACAAAACUUACAUAAGUUUUGUUGUCCAUAAGUUACAGAGGAGUGGCUUCAGACUCAGAGUGCGUUCAGGUCUGCUUGAUUCUAAACCCACCUGCCCCAUCACCUGGGGAAAGAAUAAUGUUGGUUCCUUACAGGGGGUCUUUCUCUCGCUUUGCUGAAGGCAUUGCCUGGGAUUAAACUCCAGCCCCGCCCUUCACCCACUCAGGAGCUUGGCUGCCUUGCACUCUAUAGGGUAGAUGCUGAUUAUUGCUCCAUCUUGAGGAAGAGGAAACAGAGGUUCUGAGAGUUAAAUACCUUUCUCAAGGCCAUGCAGUCAUGAAUGGUCCAGAGAAGAAUUCAAACCUGAGCCCUCCAUAUUCAAAGUGUGGUCCAUGGACUAGUAGUCUGGAAUCAUCUAGAAGCUUGUUAGAAAUGCAGAAUCUCAGCCCCCUCCCCUCCACCUCCUGAAUCCAAUUCUGCAUUAGAACGAGAGCUCCAGUGACUGGCGUGCACAAAGAAGUUUGAGAAGCCGUGGUGUAGCCCUUGCCAUCCGGAGCACCAAAGUCUCCAUGCGGUGGGGGACCUACAUAUGCCGUGUGCCCUGCUGCACUGGGAUCCCUCACACCAGCUGGUUCAUAUUGUCAAAAGGGAAAAAGUCCCGGGUGAGAAGUGGUGAGCCCUUGCGCCGUCUCCAUGGGGCUGGGAGAGUGGAGGCUUUGGCUCCUGAGGGGCUGCACUGAAGGCCUGCAGAACAGGAGGUUCAUCUGGCUGUGCAGAGUUCACCCCAGCCCAUCUCAGGCCUGCAUCCUCACCACCUGGGCCCAGCUGGAGGGCCAGCUGCCUUUUCCACAAGGGAUUAUGCCCAGAUAGCUUCCCACAGCAGCUCCGCGGAUUCCUUGCUAACCCCCUCUGGGAACAAAGGGCUUGGAGAAGGUCCACAGUCCUUUUUGGAGAGUGGGAUCAAAGUAAGAGCCACAUCUGUCACAAGAAAUGCGGGAACAGCCUCUUGCCAGGAGAGAUGGGGAAACUCUUAGUCCCUGGCUGGGUUUGAUACUUAAUGGCUGGAGUGCUUUUCAUGGCUGUUGGGUCAGUGGCUGCUGAUGGUCAUUGAAGUCAGCUGAACAGAGAGCUUUCCUCCUUGUGCCCAUGGCCUCCUGAAGAGGCGUAGGUGCUGUUACUGGCUACAGCUGGAACAGACCGGGGAACCUGGGGUUAGAACACGGGGGAGACUGUCAACAGCUGGGCAGCUGGGGGGCCGCUGACACACCCAGGGCUUUCUGCCUCAGAUGCCGGCUUCUGUUCUGAGACACUCUUGGAUGUCACAGAGCAGUAGAACAGCUGAGCAAAAGGGGGCACUUCUCUGGAUAUUGACAUUUUUGUGGAUGAUGGGGAGGGUCAAAUAAUUUUAUUAAACCAUUUAAGAUUCAAUUCUAACAAGCUCCCAGGGGAGGCUAUUGCUGCUUUGCAAAGUGAGGGCCAGGGUGGUGCACACAUCUAACUGCAUGGUCCUGGAAAGCCACUUACUUCUCUCUUUGUUUUCUGUCCUGUCAAAGCGGGUGAUAAUAGCAUCCCCAGGAGGGAUGAUGCGCAGCCCUCAUACAUCAUCAUCAGUGGUGCUCUGUUGCCCGGGCUCAUAUUGGGAUCACCUGGGGGAACUUUAGACACUACUAAGGACUGGCUUCCUCUUCCCCAGACACUCUGAUUUAGCUGUUGGAGGUGGGGGAGGCAGGGGCGUGGGGAUGCUUGUGGCUUCUCAGGGGGCUUCUAUGUGCAGUUGAGAACCACUCUCCUGAAGGCAGCUCUGGCCAAAGAAAUGCAAGAAUCCCCAUCACUUUUGGAGUGUCGGAGACACUUUACGUCGGUGCUCCUCUAAGUAUGUUCCAUGGACCAGUGCUUCCUGAGAGCUAUUUGUUAAUGGGUUGGCAGGAGAAGUACGGAGAUAGAGUGCUUAGGAAUUUCCAUAGCAUCUCGAUAUUGCCAGACCUCUGAAGAUGUGAUCAGGGGCUCAUCUCCCUGAAUAGGUUGUAGACCAGCUCCAGGGCUGCCAGGCCCCUGUGGGGAGGUGCACAGUCAGGAUGAGCUGCAAAUGAGUCCUGUGCAGGGGAACACGUGUCAUUGUGCCAAGGACUAGAUACAGAAAAAUCCACUGGUC
rnacentral:lncRNA from 1 species